UAGAAGGCCAAUGGCCCACAGCGUGCAGGGUGCAGUUUAUUAAGACAUAUUAGUCAUGUCAGUAAGUGUGAACUUUAUCCCAGUUGCCUGUGAGAAGAGACACUGGAAGCUUUCAGCCAUGGAAAUGACACGAUGCAGUUGGCAUUUUGUAAAUAUCACUCUGGUAACAGUUGGAAAAAGAAGCUUAACCCCCGACACGAAGUGACUAGUUAUUGAGCUGUUCCAGUAAUCCAAGUAAGAGAUGAUGGAGUGAUAAGAAAGAAGAAAACAGAAAGGAGGAAAAAACCUUGAGGGAGUGGAAUUGCUAAGUCCCAGUACUGUGGAUAAAGAUGAAGCCUCACAUACACUGUUUGUAAGAAAUUUUAAUCAGAAGAAAUGUGGGCUGUACAACAACUUGAACUCAUAAACAGGGACUUACACCACGCAUGAAGAAUCUAUACACCGAGUGACUCAGGAACCAGAGACAAGCGUGAGCGCAGACCUCUGAGAACUCAAAGAGAUCGUAAAGCAGCAUUCUCCAGAGGUAAAUGUUCCUAACCCACCUGAUGGUUCCGAUGGAAACAAACCUACUAGCAGAGGUGCAAUUGUUUCAACCCGAAGGCUCUACCCUGGGUACCAAGCUCCCUUCUAGUUCCUAUCGUUAAAGACCUGAAGAGAAAUCCUGCAGAGGGGUGACGUGUUUUUGCUUGUGCAUGUCUGAGCUCUAGAGUAUAUAGAAAUUUCUAGAACCAUGUUUCCAGUGCAGCUAAGCUGAUGACGUGAGACAAGAAGAGGUGUAGGGAACUACCUGGCCUUUUGUUUCCUGUGGAUCUCUAAGCACCCAGAGGGGCCUGGGAGCUAUCUGAGGGCCUGAAAGACUGAAAGGGCUUCCCUGAGUCUCUUGUUCUUCUUCAGCCCCAACUCCAUUAAAAGUCUAUUGGGAAGAAUCCAGCCUGAGCUGAACAGUAGGAAACACCAGUUCCUUGAGAAAAGGACAGAUGUGAGCUAACAGCCUCUGAGUACCCUUCCCAUGGCACUGGCUACACACUCGGCAUGUCCAGAACCAGGGCUCAGAAGGCAAUUGAGAAGAGCAAAAUCUAUCCAUGACAACCUGAAGGUGGCAAUAUUCACAUUUACUUGAAAACUGCUGGAGAAUGAGCUAC
rnacentral:lncRNA from 1 species